GGGGUCGCUUGGAUUUGACAGCAGGUAGAAAGGGUAUGUAAGCACGUCGAGCAGAGGAAGAAACGGCUCGUUAAUCACGGUCUUCAAAAAAUUAACUGGCGAAACAGAAUACGCUAUGGCUGCCUAAUCGAAGAAUAGUAGAUUAUUGGUUUAAUCCUGCUGCAAGGCGGCGGGACCAUACAUCUCUCAAACGCCGUCGCUCCGAGGCGGUUUGAUACAGAGGUGCGGACAAAUCGGGGAUAGUUGCGGUUAGCCCUGUAACUGCAAUGAAAAUUAAGGGAUAAGGUGUCGGUUGGUGGCUUCGGUCUUGCCGACACACGAAAAUCAAGGCGAAGAUAAGCGUGUAGAAAGCAUAUUAUUUCCUUGUUUGGACGAGGGUUCGACUCCCUCCGACUCCACUA
rnacentral:tmRNA from 1 species